rnacentral:rRNA from 1 species
UACGUAGGGACCGAGCGUUGUCCGGAAUCAUUGGGCGUAAAGAGCGUGUAGGCGGCUUGCUAAGUCCUGCGUGAAAUCUCGGGGCUCAACCCCGAGCGGUCGUGGGAAACUGGCAGGCUAGAGUGCGGGAGAGGAGAGUGGAAUUCCGUGGUGUGAGCGGUGAAAUGCGCAGACUAUCAGGAAGAACACCCGUGGGCGAAGGCGGACUCCCUGGAACGCAACUGAC